rnacentral:misc_RNA from 1 species
GAUGAAGAACGUAUCGAAAUGCGAUAAGUAGUGUGAAUUGCAGAAUUCCGUGAAUCAUUGAAUCUUUGAACGCACAUUGCGCCUCCUGGUAAUCCGUGAGGCAUGCCUGUCCGAGCGUCAGUAAAAAGCAACUCGGCCGCGGCUGGCGGUUGGUGAUGGAGGAAGAGCACGUCUCGUUGUCGGUCUCCCCUCCCAAAAUCAACGGCGGAAUGUCACUGGCACUCGGUGUUGUAGUAUUAUUCGCCGAUCACCCAUUGUUGUUCCUGCCGCCCAAACCCCCACAAUUCUCUUGAUUGACCUCGGAUCAGGUAGGGAUACCCGCUGAACUUAAGCAUAUCAAUAAGCGGAGGA